rnacentral:lncRNA from 1 species
GUACUUUCAAAUUCAUUCUAUGAGGCCAACAUCACCCUGAUUCCAAAACCAGAUAAAGACACUUCAAAGAAAGAAAACUUCAGACCAAUAUCCCUAAUGAAUAUAGAUGCAAAAAUCCUCAAUAAAAUUCUGGCAAAUCGGAUACAAAAACAUAUCANCCAGAUAAAGACACUUCAAAGAAAGAAAACUUCAGACCAAUAUCCCUAAUGAAUUUAGAUGCAAAAAUCCUCAAUAAAAUUCUGGCAAAUCGGAUACAAAAACAUAUCAAAAAGAUCGUGCACCAUGACCAAGUGGGAUUCAUCCCUGGCAAGGCUGGUUCAAUAUACGGAAAUCAAUAAAUGUAAUUCACCACAUCAAUAGACUUAAAGAUAAGAACCAUAUGAUCAUCUCAAUAGAUGCUGAAAAAGCAU